rnacentral:lncRNA from 1 species
CCAUGGGUGUCGCUUCGUAGCCGGGCUGCUCCGGGAAAGGCCUCGUACAGGAAAACUAGACAAUCCACCAGCCCAGGAGGGGACAAGCAGGCUUAUUCCUCCUCCUCGUCAUCUCUGGCUCCAGCCCCACCCUGGCCCUUGCUGGCAUUCUUCCUCUUCACGUGGCUGGGGUUGGCCACCCCAAUAGGGAAGCAGAGGGAGAAGUCAAUGUGCUUCUGGGAAUCCAGGCGGACAGUGAAGAACAGGAUAUUUACCACCUGCUCACGGACACGGAUAUGACACUGUUGAAUCAGCACAUGAGCGUGGCGGAUGGACUUAGCCAAGCCAAGCUUGAAGACCUGGGUCUGUAGGAAUCUCUAAGAAAUCAUUGAUCUUCAGGCCCAGGAUGUAAUCCAGCUUCAUCUUGCCCUCAUCCAGCACCCCAGUGCGGACCAGCCACUGCAGCAGGGCAAUGCCUUCGAACAGACGCCGUGGGUCCUUCUCAUCAAGCGUCAGCAGCUCCCGGGCGGCCUUAUGGAUCUUGACCAGGGUAAAUUUGACCCUCCAGACCUCACAUUUGUUCUGGAGCCCAUACUCACCAAUCAGCUUUAGCUUUUGGUCGAGAUGAGGUUUCUCGAAGGGUCUCUGCAGGGUCACAUAAGUUUGGCAACAAACCCAGCUCUGGGCCGCUGGCAUGUUGGCUCCACUUGCCCGUCUAUGCCU